rnacentral:lncRNA from 1 species
UUCUCUAAUACAAUACUCUUGACCACAUUGUUUGGUUUGAUAGUUUAUUCAUGUCUACUAUCCAAUAUGAAUCUUGUGCAUAUAUGAUUACUUUGAAUGUGAUUUGGAACGCAUUCCUAAAUCUCAUUCAUACUCUGGCCAGAGAUUCUAAAUCAUAUCAUAGAGUAUUCUCCCUCAAACGGUUUGAAAGUUAGAGAUCCCUUGUUGCGCAUUCACUUGCCUCCAUGACUAAGUGGCUUAACCCCAACGAUGCCGUGGACACCCCGAUGGGGUGACUUUGACAUAAUCAAAGAUCAAGGACUUAACCACAAGACAACUGUGAUGCCUCAGGUCAAAGGACUAAUUUGCAUUAUCCCAAACAUGAGUUCUCAUGUGACAUGAGUAUGAGAACUUGUCGUUGAUCACGUUCAGUGAACUCAUUCUUUAUUGAGCACCUACGUACUUGUCUUGAUGUCACACACACCAAUGACUCGAGACUAGUCACUCUCCCUGAGAGAAGAUAUAGCACGUACCGAUCUUGACGGACUGUCAAUGCCCAAUUGGCAAUCCUAUGAUCAGGAACAUUUAGGAUGUGUCUACGAAAGAAUGGUCUCAUGAAUCUAACUUCAUUAGAUUACAUUCUUCCAAUCACAUAUUCCUUGGACUUUAUCGUUUAAGCAUAUAACAUUUAUAUGAGACGGCUCAAACAAUAAUCUUUGCCCUUUAUAUUAAACUAGAUUAGUUUAACAUGUGAAAUGUCCGUAAAGUAUCAUCACAUGAUUGGUUUUAGGGCACAUUUCCAACAUUACACACGUUUAGGGCUUCCACAAAGCAUGAGUGACACCUAGCAGUAUAUCAUGGUUACCCAAGCUAAUCAAAAGAGGUGGAGAACCUAUUCAGUUUAGGAUUACAAAUGCAAUACGGUCUUUCUCUAAUCUAAUACUCUUGACCACAUUGUUUGGUUUGAUAGUUUAUUUAGUCAUGUCUACUAUCCAAUGUGAUUCGUGUGCUUAUAUGAUUACCUUGAAUGUGAUUUGGAACGCUUUCCUAAAUCUCAUUCAUACUCUGGCCAGAGGUUCUAAAUCAUAUCAUAGAGUAUUCUCCCUCAAACAGUUUGAAGGUUAGAGAUCCCUUGUUGUGCAUUCACUUGUCUCCAUGACUAAGUGGCUUAACCCCAAUGAUGCCGUGGACACCCCGAUGGGGUGACUUUGACAUAAUCAAAGAUCAAGGACUUAACCACAAGACAACUGUGAUGCCUCAGGUCAAAGGACUACUUUGCAUUAUCCCAACCAUGAGUUCUCAUGUGACAUGAAUAUGAGAACUCUUCGUUGAUCGUGUUCAGUGAACUCAUUCUCUAUUGAGCACCUACGUACUUGUCUUGAUGUCACACACACCAAUGACUCGAGACUAGUCACUCUCCCUGAGAGAAGACACAACACGUACUGAUCUUAACGGACUGUCAAUGCCCAAUUGGCAAUCCUAUGAUCAGGAACGUUUAGGAUGUGUCUACGAAAGAAUGGUCUCAUGAAUCUAACUUCUUUAGAUUGCAUUCUCCCAAUCACAUAUUCCUUAGACUUAUCGUUUAAGCAUAUAACAUUUAUAUGAGACGGCUCAAACAAUAAUGUUUGCCCUUUAUAGUUAAACUAGAUUAGUUUAACAUGUGAAAUGUCCGUAAAGUAUCAUCAUAUGAUUGGUUUUAGGGCACAUUUCCAACAUAAACCUGUUGGAUGUGAAGAUCGUACCUGUUAUGAUUGUUUCUGGUACGCCGAAUCUAGUCACGAUAUUUUCUUCUACGAAUUUAUAAACUUCUUUAGACAUUAACUCAAAAUUACAAGUAUCCAUGAAUGCUUUGCGAACCCGAAAGAUGGCGUAAUUUUGCUAAUUACAUCCAUGGCCCAUCCUCUGAACGGCCAUGGUUUAGUGACCGAAUGUAGUGAUUCGGCUGAGACCCUUUGUAUAGGACCAUGAAUGUGGCGUAAUUUUGUCGAUUACAUCCAUGUACCAUCAUCUGAAUUAGCCAAUUCAGCCCUUUACGAUUGGCCAAGUGAGCAUGUAACGAAUGACAUCGAUCUGGGCGAUAACCUGAGUGACUGAUGGGAGCAUGUAAUGUCUAAGUUUUGAUGCAGUGAAAAAUAGGGCGAGACAAAGCUUCUCGAUAGUGGAGUAAUUAAUCUCUGGUGGGUUGACAUUUCAGCUAAGGUAAAAAAUGGCAUGUUAUCACCCAGCAUCAUUAGGCAUCUGAUGGAUUCUUCGGUCGCCGAGAUAUAUAGCUUAAGAUGUCUGCCACGUCAUGAUGGGACGAGGACGAGUGGAGUUGUUAAGGAGACCUUGAUCUGCACAAAUGCCUCUUGGUGUUCUGUACGCCAUUCGAAGAUGUCAUAAUCCUUAAGUUUCAAAAGCGUGGAGAAGGCUUUCAUUUUCCCGGCCGAAUUAGCAAUAAAUUGAUGGAGAAAGUUAAUCUUGCUGAGCAACGAUUGUAGUUGUUUCUUAGUCGUUGGGGAUGGAGUGUUGAUGAUUACGCGAGCCUUGUUGUCGUCUACCUUAAUACUAUGAUGAUGUACGAGGAAUCCUAAAACAUUACCGGCUGAUACGCCGAAAGCACAUUUGGUGGGAUUCAUCUUAAGAUUAUGCCAACGCAUACGCAGGAAAGCCUGAUGUAGGUCAUCCAAAUGUGUCUGCCAACAUUCUGAUUUGAUUACAACAUCGUCAAUGUAGACUUCGACAAUGGUACCAAUCAAAUCUUGGAAAAUAGUGUUCAUGGCUCAUUGGCAUGUGGCACCGGCGUUCUUAAGGCUGAAUGGUAUGACGACCCAUUCGUAUGUGCCGAGUGCCCUAGGGCAACGAAAAGCAAUUUUAUGGACAUCAUCUUCGACGAUGAAAAUUUGGUUAUAACCAGCAUGUCCAUCCAUAAAGGAUAAGAUCUCGUGGUGUGCCGCUGCGUCGAUUAACAAAUUUGAAAUUGGCAUUGGAUACUCGUCUUUAGGCGUUGCCAAGUUCAAAUUUCGAAAAUCAAUACAGAUGCACAUGGCACCAUUUUUCUUUAAAACGGGGAUGAUGUUCGCCAGUAUCGAGCUGUCCGAAUAUACUCAACUUUUAAAAGUCGAACGAGUUUAUCUUUUAUGCCGAGUUGUACUUCGGUCAAGAAUCGUCGAGGUGGUUGGCGGAAUGGUUUACACCCAGGUUUGAUGCCCAAUUCAUGUUCAACUAGUGUGUAAUCUAGACCAGGCAUCUCAUGGUAACUCCAAGUAAAACAAUCCUUAAAUUCUUUAAGCAAAUUACAAAGCUCAAUUUUUACAUGUUGGGGUAACAAAGCAUUAAUGAACAAAGGCUGUGGCUCUUCGGCCGUUCCAACAUUUAUUUCUUCUAAUGGAUCUUUAACUUGAUGUUGACUAUCCUUGAGCUCGACCAGUGCAGCCUGAACUUUGUUUAGUGAUAGUAUAGGGCCGUUGUCUCCUUCGGCCAAAAAUUCGACUAAGUUGACACCCGAAUUUGGGUGUUUGGAAAUAGCGUACAAGUGGGCCAGCAGUCGUUCUAUGGUAGAUGAAACCAUGGUUUGGUGUCUGUCCUAUCUUUCUUCAGGCAUCAAUGUUGACGAUUAGAUAGGCCAACCCAAGUCUCGUUGAAUCCUGAUGAACAGUCUCGGCGCCUACAUCGAUCGCUUUCUGGAUCGAAAUUCGAGUGGGUCGCCUUUCCUCGUUUAAACCCUAUAGGGUAAUAUAACCGACAUGGUCAUCGUAAUACCGUGCCUGAAUCAUAUUGGCUUCGAAUGACUGACUGUCGGCUGGAUAAACCACAAUUGAUUUUCCGUCCCAAAAGAUGAAAACUUGAUAUAAAGAAGAGGGAAUGUAAUUUGUUUGAUUCAUCCAAUCCUGACUGAGCAAUGCAUUAUACUCGAUCUUGGAGUCGACAAUAAAAAAUACGGUUAUGUGAUUGCGACCUGCAAUGUUUACCUCUAAAGGAAGCACUCAUUUGGUUUGGGAUUUGUCACCGACGAAGCUGCUCAUGGUUAUUCCUGAUGGGAUGAUUUUGUCAUUGGAUCGUCGUAAUGCUUGCAUGACAGAUAUGGGCAUGAUAUUGACCGUCGCCCACAAUCGACGAAAAUUUUAGAGAUUAGAUAACCUUUAAUGUGAGUUGUGGCAUACAACGGCUUUAAAUGUUGAAGAUUAACCGAGGAUGAGCGGGGAACCAAUAUGGCUAGAGCUGCUUUAAGUUUGUCAUCGUUAUUUGCUUGCCCAUCUUUGGUGGUAGUGACGAAACCGACUUGUGUUGCUUCCUCGGCAACCACAUCACCAUCCAAGAAACUUGGUUGGUGUGCAGUUGGCUGGAAUUCAGCAGGUAAAACAUGAACCAUGCUUAUUUCCAUGUUCUCAAGGACUGAAAGGCCCAUCGGAUCUUGGUCGUCAUCUUCCUGGUUAUCGAGGACUGCAGCUGAAGGAAAAUUUUGUGAAAACAUGUUCAUUUAAGCAACAUCAAUAAGCAUGCAAUUAACAAUUAAAGGCGGAAGCAUGCUAGCAUGCACUUAAAAACAAAACAUUAACCAAGAAAUUCAAAGCCUAGUAGAUUGGUGAACCAUUAAUCAACUCAAAACAAAGUGAGUUGAAAUUGUACCUUUGUAGAUUCCUCUUUGCAUAAGCAAAGGCUAAUCACCCAAAGAGAGGGCCUUCAUUCCUUGCAUCUUAAAUCUAUGGAUUUGGAUGGAAGAAUAGGUUUCUCCAAGUUCCCUAAAUAGGGAACCUCUAAGUCUCUUCACCAAGGAGAGAUUGGAGAAGAAAUGAGUGACCUUGGAGUAGUGGGAUUGCAAGAUGCACCCCCAAGGUGGCCGGCCUCUUUAGAGAGAAAUGGAGAGACAUGUUCUCUCCAAUUUUCUCCAAAACAAACCCUAAUGAAUUUUAGGCUAUAAAGUAAUAUUUAUACCUUUAUUCAUUUGAGUGGCAAACUUGUAAAUAAGUCCAAGUUCACUACCCUUAGCAUCAUGGCCGGCCCUAGGAUAUUUUGGGCUAAUUAGGCCUUUGUGAAUCAUUAUUCAUUAAGUUGUCAUACAACUUAAGUCAAUGGGCUUGACGUUCGAAGCCCAUUGGGCCUUAAUGUCCAAAACUAUCCCGAGGUCUUUAACGAACUUAUUCGUUUGAUUAAUUAACAUAUUAAUUAAUCCUUGCCAUAAAUAAAUGAUUAAACCAUUUAAUUAUUCUUACUCAUCUCCAUUGUAAUCUCCUCCUUACACGGUGUGCGAUCCAUUAGGUUCCUUUUAGCGAGGCAGUGGGCGAUUAAAACCAUUUUACAUCGAUUAUGAAUUGAAACUUACUUUCAAUUCUCCCUUUAGUGAUUACACACGUUUAGGGCUUCCACAAACCAUGAGUGACACUUUGCAGCAUAUCAUGGUUACCCAAGCUAAUCAGAAGAGGUAGAGAACCUAUUCAGUUUGGGAUUACAAAUGCAAUACGGUCUUUCUCUAAUCUAAUACUCUUGACCACAUUGUUUGGUUUGAUAGUUUAUAUGUUCAUGUCUACUAUCCAAUGUGAUUCGUGUGCUUAUAUGAUUUCUUUGAAUGUGAUUUAGAACGACUUUUCUAAAUCUCAUUCAUACUCUGGCCAGAGAUUGUAAAUCAUAUCAUAGAGUAUUCUCCCUCAAACCAUUUGAAGGUUAGAGAUCCCUUGUUGCACAUUCACUUGUCUCCAUGACUAAGUGGCUUAAUCCCAAUGAUGCCGUGGAUACCCCGAUGGGGUGACUUUGACAUAAUCAAAGAUCAAGGACUUAACGACAAGACAACUGUGAUGCCUCAGGUCAAAAGACUAAUUUGCAUUAUCCCAACCAUGAGUUCUCAUAUGACAUGAAUAUGAGAACUCUUCGUCGAUCACGUUCAGUGAACUCAUUCUCUAUUGAGCACCUACGUACUUGUCUUGAUGU